CUCCAUACGAGCAUUGAUAUUGUACAUUAUAUUAUGAACGAUGGAUCAUUAUAUGGAUUGUCAAGCUCCUCGAAGUCGUCUUCGUCGUGUGCGAUUUCUUGUGCAUUCUCGCACGAUCUGUAUGAGCCAAUUACUGAACAUUUAAGCCCGGUCUUUUUGUAACUGCAAAGCGACCAACAUCCUUUUUGCAAGAAAUUAUUUUAGAUAGAGAAUUAAAUAACCACUAUUUCAGUUGGAAGAGAAAAUGAUUUUGAAUGAAUUGUGAUAUAAUAAUUUCAUUUAAGAAGAAUUUAAACCAUUUAGAUUGGAAUAGGAAGAUCC